rnacentral:misc_RNA from 1 species
AAGUCGUAACAAGGUUUCCGUAGGUGAACCUGCGGAAGGAUCAUUAACACGUAUCCAACGUUAAACAACCCUGUGAACGCUCUUGUAGCCCACGCGGAACAGCAAUCCCGGUAAAUCAGUUGGAGAAAAGGUUUUGAUUCGGGACCUCUGUCCAUCAGCUCACGGUUGCCAGAGGUCGAUCACCGGCCGGCAGACAUGUCACAGGGCUAUAUGCCCCCUCAUUCACACCCUAUCUGGCCACAAACCGAACAACUGUUAACAAUGGAUAUCUUGUUCUC